AUGAACGCUAGCUACAGGCUUAACACAUGCAAGUCGAGGGGCAGCAUGGUCUUAGCUUGCUAAGGCCGAUGGCGACCGGCGCACGGGUGAGUAACACGUAUCCAACCUGCCGUCUACUCUUGGACAGCCUUCUGAAAGGAAGAUUAAUACAAGAUGGCAUCAUGAGUCCGCAUGUUCACAUGAUUAAAGGUAUUCCGGUAGACGAUGGGGAUGCGUUCCAUUAGAUAGUAGGCGGGGUAACGGCCCACCUAGUCUUCGAUGGAUAGGGGUUCUGAGAGGAAGGUCCCCCACAUUGGAACUGAGACACGGUCCAAACUCCUACGGGAGGCAGCAGUGAGGAAUAUUGGUCAAUGGGCGAGAGCCUGAACCAGCCAAGUAGCGUGAAGGAUGACUGCCCUAUGGGUUGUAAACUUCUUUUAUAAAGGAAUAAAGUCGGGUAUGGAUACCCGUUUGCAUGUACUUUAUGAAUAAGGAUCGGCUAACUCCGUGCCAGCAGCCGCGGUAAUACGGAGGAUCCGAGCGUUAUCCGGAUUUAUUGGGUUUAAAGGGAGCGUAGAUGGAUGUUUAAGUCAGUUGUGAAAGUUUGCGGCUCAACCGUAAAAUUGCAGUUGAUACUGGAUAUCUUGAGUGCAGUUGAGGCAGGCGGAAUUCGUGGUGUAGCGGUGAAAUGCUUAGAUAUCACGAAGAACUCCGAUUGCGAAGGCAGCCUGCUAAGCUGCAACUGACAUUGAGGCUCGAAAGUGUGGGUAUCAAACAGGAUUAGAUACCCUGGUAGUCCACACGGUAAACGAUGAAUACUCGCUGUUUGCGAUAUACUGCAAGCGGCCAAGCGAAAGCGUUAAGUAUUCCACCUGGGGAGUACGCCGGCAACGGUGAAACUCAAAGGAAUUGACGGGGGCCCGCACUAGCGGAGGAACAUGUGGUUUAAUUCGAUGAUACGCGAGGAACCUUACCCGGGCUUAAAUUGCAGAUGAAUUACGGUGAAAGCCGUAAGCCGCAAGGCAUCUGUGAAGGUGCUGCAUGGUUGUCGUCAGCUCGUGUCGUGAGAUGUUGGGUUAAGUCCCGCAACGAGCGCAACCCUUAUUGUUAGUUGCCAUCAUUUAGUUGGGCACUCUAGCGAGACUGCCGGUGACAAACCGGAGGAAGGUGGGGAUGACGUCAAAUCAGCACGGCCCUUACGUCCGGGGCUACACACGUGUUACAAUGGGGGGUACAGAGGGCCGCUACCACGCGAGUGGAUGCCAAUCCCCAAAACCUCUCUCAGUUCGGACUGGAGUCUGCAACCCGACUCCACGAAGCUGGAUUCGCUAGUAAUCGCGCAUCAGCCACGGCGCGGUGAAUACGUUCCCGGGCCUUGUACACACCGCCCGUCAAGCCAUGGGAGCCGGGGGUACCUGAAGUGCGUAACCGCGAGGAGCGCCCUAGGGUAAAACUGGUGACUGGGGCU
rnacentral:rRNA from 1 species